rnacentral:snRNA from 1 species
UAAAUAUAAAUUAAUCUCGAAGC